rnacentral:misc_RNA from 1 species
GAUGGGACCCUAAGUAGC